rnacentral:rRNA from 1 species
CGCGUAGGCGGUAAUGAAAGUCAGAUGUGAAAUACUUCGGCUCAACUGAAGAACUGCAUCUGAAACUUCAUAACUAGAGUACGGAAGAGGGAAAUGGAAUUCCCGGUGUAGAGGUGAAAUUCGUAGAUAUCGGGAGGAACACCAGUGGCGAAGGCGAUUUCCUGGUCUGGUACUGACGCUGAGGCGCGAAAGUGUGGGGAGCAAACA